rnacentral:lncRNA from 1 species
AUCGCUCAGGUUCAGCACGUUUCCAGAUACCUGGUUGAGGCUGUCUACUGCAUAUUUAAACAUGAAGGGAACCAGUAUGUUCAUAGCCUUAGCACUUGCUAAAAACCCCAGAGAUAUGGCUACUCUGGCUCGCAGGUCUGGUCUGUCUUUGGGCCACACGUAAGACAGCAUCGCUCUGACAAUCUUUUUGGCAUCUAUCUCUUUCAGCCCUUCCUUUGGAUCUGUGUGAAGCCCUCCACCUGCAUGUCCAUGCCAACACAUUCUCUUUUCUAUCAGUUGCAAGCUUGGGGAAAUAGCUGAUAUCUCCAAUAACGGCCUUGAAUGACCUCCCAUCAGACUCUGCCAUGAUCUUCGUUUGCGGAUUGGUGGAACCGUGCCGCUGCCCGGGCCCCGCCGCCGCCCGCUCCCCGCGAACCAGCCGUGCGCGCAGGCGGCGGCCGCCGGAGGCCGCAGCAGAGCGAUGGCGAGGAGCAGCCGGCGCGGACAGGAGGCCGCCUGCAGCACCAUCUUGGCAGCGGAGCGCGGGGGGUUGUGGGACGGCGGCGGAGCGCGGGGAGGGGCGGGGCGGCAGCGCGGCGGCACCCGACGGGGCGCGCUCCCGCCCGGCACGAGCGUGCAUGGCGGAUCUCGUCGCGCGAGGAGGCUGCGGCUCUGCGCGGCGUUUUUAUUCACGUAAAAAUUUCUUCAAAGCCACCGGAGCUCCACUGCCGGUGUUGUUGCCCCCGAGGGAGAGUCGUAAGCUCGUUUGUGGGGGAGAAAGGCAGGAAGACGGAGAUGAGCAGGAGGACGGCUGGCUUUAAGCUGAUUUUUAACGAGGCAGGCUUUUUCCUCCCCGCGCUCUGAUACGCAGCUUUGCUCCUGCCCGGGAUUCGGUUUAAACGACGGAGGCGGCGUUUCUCUGCCGCUGAUCUCAUUGUUCUCCACGACUGCGCUCAGCACGGCACAGCCGGAACAGCGCCGCCCAGCGGCGUCGCUCGGACACGUCAGUGCCAGGCUCAGGGCUGCCGGGCGCCCGCCUCCCCGUGUGCCCUUUUCGACGUGGCGGUCGGAGCAGCAGCAGGUGAGGGAUGUGACCUUGCCCGGGACACGCAGGACGCCCAGCGCAGGCUGACCGACGCUUCGUUUAGAGCGAUGUCCAGUUUUUGUGCCGAAUUUCAGCAGGCCUUGCUGAGGUAGCCUUGAUACAUCCAGUAUGGACACCGUGUGCUCUGGAUAGAGCUGCGCUCAGCUGUACGAUAUGCGUCCACUGUUUCCACCACAUUAGGCUCUCUGUAUGGACUUACCAAGGGACACUAUUUCCACCACAUUAGGCUCUCUGUAUGGACUUACCAAGGGACGCCCUGGCUGUGUACAGCAGAACCCUGAAUGGUGCUCUCGUGGCACUUAACGUUGAUCUGCUGCCUUUCUCAUGGAGAUCCACAAAAUCGCUUGGAGAACUUGUCAAACCUCACAGUAUCAGACAACUGGACUAUUACAGCCUUUCCUUAGGUAAAAGGAAAUGAGAAUAACAGGUUCCAUACACCCUUACAGAGCCAAUUAUAGAACCUGUUACAUACUUUCCAUGAGACACUAACAUUGAAGAUGGAAAAUACUCAUUCUAGCAUUCAAUUCAUACUCCCUUUAAGUACAGGCUAGCACUAAUUUCGGUCUAGUAUAGUUUUAAUGUUCUCAAGCCAGCACUGAUUACAUGAGAAAUACAUACAUUCCUUUCAUGAAAUACGAAUGGGAAUUUGGCCUUCUAAUUGAAUAUUCAAAAUGAAGUCCUGCCAUUCAUCUAACGCUGGAAAAAGCACCCACAUCAGAAGACUGGCAGAGAGGAGGCGAUUCAUUAUCAAAAAGCCAUCAGAAGUGCUAAAUAUUGAGCUUAGUUCACUGAUAACUGAGGGGUGACUAUAGCCCUGCUGUAAGCAUUUGGACAGGGUGAGAAAUUAGGAGCAAUGAUAGAAGGAGCGAGUACUGGAUGUAAUGGGAUCAAAUUAAAUACAGGGAAGUUAAGUAUCUGGCAAAGAAGAAUUUAAAUUGGAAUGAGAUAGGCAAAAAAAACCCAAGAUGGGACAGCUGAGAGAAGAAGAAAAGAGGGGCCAUGCAUACACCUCAGUGGUCAGAAAUCAGGAUAACAAAGCUCAUGAUGUAGAUCCAGAAGGAUAGCAUGAGAGGUUUUUCAUGUUAUAAACUCACACUAUUUCAAGCAGCUUGCCAUGAAAAAACAUACAUGCUUCUCUGCAGAGUUAACUGCAGAAGCAGAGGAUCUCCUUGUAUAACUCAGACAAAAAUCAAUCUCUGCUCAGAAUAAAUGACAAGACAAGAUUAGUAGAAGAAAUAGAAGCCCAAGGAAUGGUAACAACUCAUCACAGAGGAGAUUUGUGAAUAGAAACCUAAAAGGUCUCUAAUCGGGAUGUUUCCUACACCAACUCCCACAAAAUAUUAUCAUAGAAUCACCAAGGUUGGAAAAGACCCACAGGAUCACCCAGUCCAACCAUCCACCCAUCACCAAUGGUUCUCACUAAACCAUGUCCCUCAACACAACAUCCAAACAUUCCUUGAACACCUCCAGGCUCGGUGACUCCACCACCUCCCUGGGCAGCCCAUUCCAGUGCCUGACCACCCUUUCAGAGAAGCAGUAUUUCCUGAUGUCCGGCCUGAACCUUCCCUGGCACAGCUUGAAGCCAUUCCCUCUAGUCCUAUCACUAGUCACACGAGGGAAGAGGCCGACCUCCAGCUCACUGCAACCUCUCUAUUAUGUUGCCAAUACUAAAAUUCUGAAGUACUAAAUGCUAAAAUACCAUGGCGAACUAAUAUUACACAAAUCUGAGGGAUAUACCCUGUAGUAUGGCCACCAGUCCUUCCAUGACACGUACAAUCAGCAAACCAGGUCUUGAAUAUACUCUAACGUGCUGCACAGCUUUAUCUGGGAUGUCUCAGUAGCCCUCACAGCAAAGUGAAGAUAAAAAAUAAAUAAAAAUGAAGACACCCCUGACAUAUUGGGUGUUGGCACGAAGACUAAUUUGCUAAUGUUUUCUCAACACUUUGAAAGCAUCAUCUGGCUAAUAAAAGAUACUGUAAGUGAGUACUUAGUUUUUCCCUACAAGAACCAAACAAAUUCCACUGUGGAGGUAGUAUAUAUCCCAUAAAAAUAAAGGUAUUUCGGAGGCAAUGCAUUUGAAUUAAUUUAUUCUAUUUAUUUCAAAAUAGAUGAAUGGAAGGGGAAAAGUAGCCAUAAUGGAUAAAAAAAAUUACAUUUGCAGAUGGAUGUGAACUGUGAAAUCCAUUGCACAAUGAAAGAAUGAACUGUAACAAAACAAAAGCUGUACAACUGGUUCAGAUGAUUCCCAACAGGUAUAUUAACUCAGCUCUUGUGAAGCAGCUGUUGUUAUCACAGAGUCCUCAAUGCCAAAGUUGAUAACGUAGAAUGGCUUAGGUUGGAAGGGACCUUAG